rnacentral:rRNA from 1 species
CACUAUGCCUAGCCGUAAACAUUGGCAGUACACUACACCUACUACCCGCCUGGGUACUACGAGCAUCAGCUUGAAACCCAAAGGACUUGGCGGUGCUUUAGACCCCCCUAGAGGAGCCUGUUCUAGAACCGAUAAUCCCCGUUCAACCUCACCUUUCCUUGCUUUCCCGCCUAUAUACCACCGUCGUCAGCUUACCCUAUGAAGGAUCCAUAGUAAGCAAAAUUGGCACAGCCCAAAACGUCAGGCCGAGGUGUAGUUUAUGGAAAGGGAAGAAAUGGGCUACAUUCCCUAACACAGGGAAUACGAACGACACAUUGAAAUAUGUAUCCGAAGGAGGAUUUAGCAGUAAGCAGAAAAUAGAGCGUUCUGCUGAAACCGGCCCUGAAGCGCGCACACACCGCCCGUCACUCUCCCCGAGCUUACAAGACUAAGUAACUAAAACCCUAUAACUGCAAAGGGGAGGCAAGUCGUAA